CCUACGGGGGGCAGCAGUAGGGAAUAUUGCUCAAUGGGGGAAACCCUGAAGCAGCAACGCCGCGUGGAGGAUGAAGGUUUUCGGAUUGUAAACUCCUUUUGUUAUAGAAGAUAAUGACGGUAUCUAACGAAUAAGCACCGGCUAACUCCGUUCCAGCAGCCGCGGUAAUACGGAGGGUGCAAGCGUUACUCGGAAUCACUGGGCGGAAAGAGCGCGUAGGCGGGAUAGCAAGUCAGAUGUGAAAUCCUAUGGCUUAACCAUAGAACUGCAUUUGAAACUGUUAUUCUAGAGUAUGGGAGAGGUAGGUGGAAUUCUUGGUGUAGGGGUAAAAUCCGUAGAGAUCAAGAGGAAUACUCAUUGCGAAGGCGACCUGCUAGAACAUAACUGACGCUGAUGCGCGAAAGCGUGGGGAGCAAACAGGAUUAGAUACCCGAGUAGUC
rnacentral:rRNA from 1 species